rnacentral:pre_miRNA from 1 species
AGUGGGAUAGCUGGGUCAAAUGGUGGUUUUAUUUAAAGUUUUCUGAGAAAUAUUCAUACUUCUUUCCAUGAUUGUUGCACCAAUUUGCAUUCCCACCAACAAU